GAGACAGACACAUUUACACCAAGAUAUUCACUUUGGAUUUACACAGGGGUUUAGGGGAAUGGAGAUCACCUGGAGAAACUCAUGGAGUUCUGUGUGGGUUAUUGUCCUUUGCUCUGGGUUUACAAUUCAGUAACGUUACAUUUAUCCAGUGUUUAGGCAGAGGGUUACUCCAGAUUUACACUGACUCUAGUUUUACAGUGGAUUGUUUUACGUGUUUACUUAGAGGGUUACUCUAGAUUGACUCUGAUUCCUCUUCACUCUGCGGCUUAGUUGACGUUUACACUGAGGCUGUUCCAUAUUUACACUGAGGUUCUGUUUAUGAGGAGUGCUUUACUCCAGGUUUAAUCUGAGUUUCAAACAGGGCAGCUGCUCUCAAUACACAUAGAAUGUUGCUCCAAGUUUACUUCAGGUUUACUCAAUGCUUUCAACAGAGCUGAUGCUCUUGAUCCAUUCAGUGUGUUAUUCCAGGUUUAUUCUGGUCCUCAAACAGUGCUGCUGCUCAUGAUCCACACAGUGUGUUAUUCCAAGGUUAGUCCAGAUUUACUCGAAGUUUAUGCUGUGCUUCAAACAGAACAGCUGCUCUUAAACCACACAACAUGUUACUCCAGAUUCGGUCCAGGUUUACUCUGAGCUUUAAACAGAGCAGCCGCUCUCAAUGCACAUAGCAUGUUACUCCAGGUUUACUCCGUGCUUCCAACAGAGCACCUGCUCUUGAUUCACACAAUGGGUUAUUCCACGUUUACUCCAGGUUUACUCACUCUGAGCUUCAGGCAGAGUAGUGACUCUCAACACACACAGCAUGUUACUCCAGGUUUACUCACUCUGAGCUUCAGGAAGAGUAGCAACCCUCAACACACACAGCAUGUUACUUCACGUUUACUCGAGGUUUACUCUGAGCUUUAAAGAGAGCAGCUGCUCUCAAUAUACACAGCAUUUCACUCCAGGUUUACUCUGAACUUCAGGCAGAGUAGCUACUCUCAACCCACACAGCAUGUUACUCCAGGUUUACUCUGAGCUUCAGGAAGCGCAGCAAUUCUCAACACACACAGCAUGUUACUCCAGGUUUAGUCUGAGCUUUAGAGAGAGCAGCUGCUCUCAAUACACACAGCAUUUCAUUCCAGGUUUACUCCAGGUUUACUCUGAACUUCAGGCAGAGUAGCUACUCUCCACCCACACAGCAUGUUACUCCAGGUUUACUCUGAGCUCUCAAUUUACCCAGCAUGUUACUCCAGGUUUAACUCUCUGCUUCAGAUGGUGUUGCUACUCUCAGUCCAUGCUGCAAAUUACUCCAGGGCUACGCCUACCAUUUAUACAGGGGAUUACACGGUGUCCUCCAGCGAUGUUUCCUCCUGUUUCACAUGCUUAGGCUGGGGUUUCCUGUAUCUCCACUGGGCCAUCUCACCCUCCAGUCACACCACCUAGGGAGGAGUCUCUGGACGUGGGUCUCCCAGGGUGGGGGCGGGGGUCACUCUAGUUGCCCCCCUUCCCCCAUGUGAGCU